rnacentral:rRNA from 1 species
CAGCCGCCGCGGUAAUACGAAGGGUGCAAGCGUUAAUCGGAAUUACUGGGCGUAAAGCGCGCGUAGGUGGUUUGGUAAGAUGGAUGUGAAAUCCCCGGGCUCAACCUGGGAACUGCAUCCAUAACUGCCUGACUAGAGUACGGUAGAGGGUGGUGGAAUUUCCUGUGUAGCGGUGAAAUGCGUAGAUAUAGGAAGGAACACCAGUGGCGAAGGCGACCACCUGGACUGAUACUGACACUGAGGUGCGAAAGCGUGGGGAGCAAACAGGAUUAGAUACCCGCGUAGUCCCUGUCUCUUAUAC